AGAAGAUAAAGAAGAUUGCUAGCUAUGGAGUUGCUUGCUUGGAUGUGGCUAUCUUUAUUUGAUUCCUUGAUCUUCAUGAUGUUUGAUAUUGCUAAUUUCUUGUGGAUAAUUGCUUGAUUCAGAGUCCAAAGGGAAAGUGGGUUUUCUAUAUGACAUUCUUGUCUAUAGGAUUACAUCUCAUUGGUCAGAUCUUUUCAACUCUUAACUUUUAAAUUUAUGAUUAGGAUUAGU
rnacentral:lncRNA from 1 species